rnacentral:rRNA from 1 species
CACCGGCGGCUCGAGUGGUGGCCACUUUUAUUGGGUCUAAAGCGUCCGUAGCCGGCUUGGCAAGUCCCCUGGGAAAUCUGGCGGCUUAACCGUCAGGCGUCCAGAGGAUACUGCCAGGCUUGGGACCGGGAGAGGUGAGAGGUACCUCAGGGGUAGGGGUGAAAUCUUGUGAUCCCUGAGGGACCACCAGUGGCGAAGGCGCCUCACUAGAACGGGUCCGACGGUCAGGGACGAAAGCUGGGGGCACGAACCGG